rnacentral:sRNA from 1 species
UAACUCCCAACCCAUGUGAACAUACCUACUGUUGCUUCGGCGGGAUUGCCCCGGGCGCCUCGUGUGCCCCGGAUCAGGCGCCCGCCUAGGAAACUUAACUCUUGUUUUAUUUUGGAAUCUUCUGAGUAGUUUUUACAAAUAAAUAAAAACUUUCAACAACGGAUCUCUUGGUUCUGGCAUCGAUGAAGAACGCAGCGAAAUGCGAUAAGUAAUGUGAAUUGCAGAAUUCAGUGAAUCAUCGAAUCUUUGAACGCACAUUGCGCCCGCCAGUAUUCUGGCGGGCAUGCCUGUCUGAGCGUCAUUUCAACCCUCAUGCCCCUAGGGCGUGGUGUUGGGGAUCGGCCAAAGCCCGCGAGGGACGGCCGGCCCCUAAAUCUAGUGGCGGACCCGUCGUGGCCUCCUCUGCGAAGUAGUGAUAUUCCGCAUCGGAGAGCGACGAGCCCCUGCCGUUAAACCCCCAACUUUCCAAGGUUGACCUCAGAUCAAGUAGGAAUACCCGCUGAACUUAAGCAUAUCAUA